CGCCAGUCUAAAAAUAUGUGUCUUCAAACCUUUUUUAAAACGAGGAAGCGAUUGUUCUCUCCGUAAAUUAAUUGGUAGGUCAUUCCACAAUGUAGCUCCAGCUCGGUCGAAUCGUCUUUCACCGUAUGUUUUAGUGCGGACAUCUCUUGGAUUCGUUAUGAGUCCUUCAUUUUCUGACCGAAGUGUUCUAAUAGGAGCGUAUGGUACAAUCAGUUCUUUCAAAUAUUUAGGUGCUUUAUCGUGUAAUGCCUUAAAAACGUAAAGUAAAAGUUUAAAAUGUGAUCGGUAUUUCAUGGGGAGCCAAUGUAGCUGCAUCAGAACAGGUGUUAUAGAGUCAAACUUCCUUUUUCUUGUGAUAAGUCUAGCUGCUGUGUUUUGAACGCGUUGUAGUCUUGCUAUAGUGGAAGAGUUAACAUUAUAUAGCAAAGCGUUCCCAUAGUCUAAUCUGGAGGUGACAAGAGAGCAGACUAGUGUCUUACACGCAUUUUCGGUGAUAUACGAUCUAAUGUUUCCGAUGGUUCGAAUCUGGUGGUAACAUGAUUUUGAGACGGCUGUUACCUGCUGUUCCAUACUCAAGGUCUUAUCAAAGAACACUCCUAGAUUCCUAACACAGUUCGCAUCACUUAAAAUAGUGCCAUCGAAGGGUAGCUCAUACUUGGAUAACUGUUUGACUCGAUGUUUCGGAGCAAAGACGAUGAGCUCUGUUUUGUCCUGAUUUAGUUUCAGCAUAUUUGAUGUCAUCCAAUCGCUUAUCUCUGACAAACACGCUUUCAAACGGUCGGAUAGAUCGUCCCAAUCACCUUCCGGUUUAAUCACUUGAUAUGCCUGAGUGUCGUCGGCAUACGAGUGGUAAAGCAUUUUAUGUCGCCUGCAUAUUUCACCAACAGGUUUCGAGUACAUGCAGUAUAACUUUGGUCCUAGAACAGAGCCUUGAGGCACACCAUAUUGAAGACGUAGAUCGUCAGA
rnacentral:lncRNA from 1 species